CAGCCGCCACGGUAAUACGUAGGUGGCAAGCGUUGUCCGGAAUUAUUGGGCGUAAAGGGCUCGCAGGCGGUUUCUUAAGUCUGAUGUGAAAGCCCCCGGCUCAACCGGGGAGGGUCAUUGGAAACUGGGAAACUUGAGUGCAGAAGAGGAGAGUAGAAUUCCACGUGUAGCGGUGAAAUGCGUAGGGAUGUGGAGGAACACCAGUGGCGAAGGCGACUCUCUGGUCUGUAACUGACGCUGAGGAGCGAAAGCGUGGGGAGCAAACGGGAUUAGAUACCCCAGUAGUCCCUGUCUCUUAUAC
rnacentral:rRNA from 1 species